AACGAACGCUGGCGGCAUGCCUAACACAUGCAAGUCGAACGAGACCGUCGGGUCUAGGGGCGCACGGGGGCGGAACGCGGGGGAACCUGCCCGUAGGUUCGGUAUAACUCCCCGAAAGGGGUGCUAAGACCGGAGAAUGUCUUCGGACAAAAGAUUUAUCGCCGUUGGAUGGGCCCGGGUUUGAUUGGCUGGUUGGUAGGGUAAAAGCAUACCAAGGGGAGGAUGCAUAGCUGGUCUGAGAGGAUGAUCCGUCACACUGGGAAUACGACCCGGACCAGACUCGUACGCGAGGCUGCAGUGGGGAACAUUGGAGGCUGGGCGCAGGCCUAGCCCCGCCAUGCCGCGUGAGUGAUGAAGCCCUUAGGGUUGUACAGCUCUUUUACCCGGGAUGAUAAUGACGGUAACGGGAGAAUAAGCACCGGCUAACUCCGUG
rnacentral:rRNA from 1 species